rnacentral:rRNA from 1 species
GUAGGAGACGAGCGUUAUCCGGAUUUACUGGGCGUAAAGCGUGUGCAGGCGGUUCGGCAAGUUGGAUGUGAAAUCUCCCGGCUCAACUGGGAGGGGUCGUUCAAUACUACCGGACUUGAGGGCAUCAGAGGAAGGUGGAAUUCCCGGUGUAGUGGUGAAAUGCGUAGAUAUCGGGAGGAACACCAGUGGCGAAAGCGGCCUUCUGGGAUGCAUCUGGCGCUCAGACACGAAAGCUAGGGGAGCAAACGGGAUUAGAGACCCCGGUAGUCCUAGCUGUAAACGAUGUAGACUUGGCGUCGGAGGGUUCAAAACCUUCGGUGUCGUAGCUAACGCGAUAAGUCUACCGCCUGGGGACUACGGCCGCAAGGUUA